rfam:Hordeum vulgare subsp. vulgare, WGS project CAJW01000000 data, contig: morex_contig_45598
AGCGUACUCCCUCCGCCCCAAAAUAAGUGACUUAAAAAUGACUCAACUUUGUACUAAAGUUAGUGUAAAGUUGAAUCAUUUUUGAGUCACUUAUUUUGGGACGGAGGGAGUAUAUA